rnacentral:tRNA from 2 species
GGGCGGUUAGCUCAGCUGGUUAGAGCACCUGCCUUACAAGCAGGGGGUCGCAGGUUCGAGUCCUGCACCGCCCACCA